GCCAUGGUAGUUUAACAAAACAUUAGUCUGUGAUACUAAAAAUGGAAAAUUUUUCCCACGGCC
rnacentral:tRNA from 1 species